ACAAGAUUGCUAAACUUCAGUCCCAUAGGUACUUCUAAUAAUGGCCAAUCUGGCCUGGCCAGCCAAAAUUACAAAUUUAAGGUAGAGUUACAUCAAGAUUGAGCUGUGUCAUUGAGUUCUGUAAUUUCUAGUAUUCUUCCCUUCAUUGUGGCCCAGUCUUCAUCUCGACAUAUUACUCCUACUCUGCCAACUUGGCUAUGCGUUUUAAGCCCACCUGCUGAACAGCACCAGGGACUAGUUUUACACUGGAGCUGGAGGAGGGAGGAGGCCUGUAACUGAAGCUCACAUUUCGUCUGGGGAUCUCAUUUAUACUCCCACUGCAUGUUCCCAUAUAGACCUUUGGUUUUCAGUAGUCGUCAGGAUCGGAACAUUACUCUAGCAGUCUUCAUGUUCAGGCAAGUUACAGCCCUUUUAAAAAGUUUUACAAUUUAAAAUUAUUUAGAAAUUGUAUCUAAUUUCCCCAUAAUAGAACUUAAUAGCUAACUUUUUGUAGAAAUUUCUUGGAAGUGUUUAAUCAACCUAUCAAGUGUUUAGAGGUAUAAAUUAGACAAUAUGACACAGAAACCAAUCUUAAACUGAAUUUAAUGCCCUACAGUAUCAGAUUAAGUUCAUCUUCUCUGUGAUUCAUGUCUUAUUUUUACUAGAUCACAUUAGAAGAUAAGGGGCACUUUGAUUAAGUUCUUAAAAUUUACAGAGGUACCAACUUCCAGUUAUAAAAUAAAGAAGUCACGGGUGAAAAGUACAGAAUGGGGGUGGGGAGAAUGUACUGAGGCUCAUUUGGAUAAAGGCAGUGCUCCUAAAGACUGUUUUUCCUGAAGACUUUUGUGAUGUAACAGUUUUGAGAAUUUCUCUGUAGAGCAGAGACUUUGAAACUUUUUGGUUGUAACUCACAGUAAAAAAUGCAUUUAUAUCAAAACUCAGCAUAUGCAUAAUGGAACGACAUUAUGUGUAGGGUACUCUGAUGCUUUUUAUUGUUUCAGUUUUAAAAUAUGCUGGUUGCAACCUACCAAAUUGAUUUCAUAAUCUACCAAUGGAUUGUGACCCUUAGUUUGAAAAGAAGAAAACACCUAAUGGAGGAACUGAUAUUUAUUGAAUAUCUUUUGUUUUCCAGGCACUUCACUAGGCAUUUUACAGGUAAGGACACUGAGUCUCAGAGAUGUUACAUGAUUUGCAGGGGGGUAUUCAGGUGUAAAAAGUUGAAGCCAGGAUGUUCACUAGGUCUCUUGAACUACAAAAAUUUCUAUUACUCUCCUACUAUGCUACUUCUGUAUAUAAAAUUGAGGUAGGCCAUUCGUCCUGCUUCAGCCAAACCCCAAUUUAUUCUGUAAGGCAGGCUUGCUGUGAAUUUACAUAUGCCAUUCGUUUGCAGUGGGUUUUUUUUUUUUCCUAAUCUUUUGUCACAAAGUGUCCCACAUCCUCAGAGUUUUCAAUAGUGGCUGAUGCAGAAGUACCCAGUGCUGAAUUUGGUCCUUAGACUAUGAAAUUAAAAAUGUUUCCAUUCCACCUGCACAUCCUACAAAUUUUCUUGUAUUCCAUGGGUUAGAGCCAUCUCUUAAGCAGUGCUUUUUGAUAUUAACAAUGAACUCUACUGCAAAAUCUAUCAUAACUCAUAGAAUCAAAUGAUUACACUCCUUUAAAAUGGUACCCUUGGGAGGCCACGCACUUACUGUAGUGAUGCUAGUAUUACUUAGAACAUUUUUGAAACUUUUCUUUUGAAAUCAUCUCCAAAGACAUUUUAUCAAACACACAGAAAAGCCACCUCGGUGUUUAUUAGUCACAAAUUACACUCCCUUGUCCUUGUGACCUUUCCUCUCUCCCUUUCUCAGUUUUGCUUUUCUUCUACUGGCUUAGCUCUCCUACCCCCCUAUUCUGGAGCUAGUAACCUAAGGAUGCCCAGAAAGGGGGUGUGCUGGCCAGAGUUCCUGGAGCAAGAACUUUUAGUUUUUAUUGAUGCUGAAUGCUGCAAAGGGAGAAUCCUAUGAGUCCAAAAACCUUUCUCUGUGGGCUGCCUGCCUGCCUGUAAGUGUCCUACGUAGUUUGCACAGGAGUAAGGACUGAAUACUGGUAAUAUCAAUCACAGGAAGUUGAGGAAGCCUGAAAUAUACAUAAAUCAUGUAUAACAUUUUCCUCCAGUGAAAAACGGAAACCAAACCAACCUAUGCUUUGUGUUAACUUAAAACUGAAAGGUCUUUCUCAGGGCCCCCUUUGCCCUUCAUUGCUGCCACUUGAAAUCUGGGAGGAAGAAUGAUGUAAAGCUUGGGAAAAAGGUUCUCCUGUGAAAUGGACAUGUUCUUCUCUUGUAAUCAAGCAUAACAUGUCUUUGGUUCUCAGGUACUUAUGAAUGUUAGACAAUGUUCGUAAGUAGUCAGAGGACUCAUAAAAGGUAGGAAAGCUUCCCCGGUAUCCUAAGAUAAUGUAAACAAUUGAGGUUCUGUUUGUGUUUUUAAACAACACUUCGUUUUGUUUCUAGCAAGUGGUUCUCACUAUUUAUAUUCAUUAAUUUGACACCAUUUUACAGAGAAACUUCUUGGGUAUUAUAAACAAUCAGUGGCAAAAUGUCCAUAUGUUAUCCACAUUGCCACCCUCGAAGAAAUUAUUUAUUUUUGGAGAUAAAAAAUAUUUAUGUGCAAAUUUAACAAAAGAAAUAAAUUGAAUAAAAAUGUAAAAAGGUGUCAGAGGCAAAUGAUUUACCCAAGAUCAAAGCUAGUUAGCACCACAGCUAGAAUUAUAACCAAGGUCUAAGAAAAAAAAUCCUCAAAGUAAUUUAACUGAGGUUUUGUUAUGUCAUAUUAAGUUGCCUGCUGAGGCUUAUGGACUUUCAGACCAGCUUUAACAUUCCAAACCAGGCAAUAGCAAUAGUGAAAAGGAAAUUGGGUGGGGAAUCAGGAGAUCAGAGGCUAGUUUUGGCUUUGUCUCUUGCAUAGUAAGCUUUUUCUCAGGGGUGCCUGCCUUCUCCUGCUCCAGCCAGGGAUUCGCCAACCAUAAACCUUAGGGGUUAGUAACUUGACUCUCUGCAUUCUUUAUACAUAGCCACUUACUGAGUCUUGUCAAUUCUACUUUGAAUGUUAGUUGCAUCUACUUAUAAAUAUAUUCAUGGUCAUCACUCUAGUAAAAAACUGUAUUUCCAUACACCCCCUGCCUCAUUUUCCCCAACUUUAAGCCAUUCCUCACAUCACUGCCACAAGAGUGAGAACUAGGUCCGUCUUCCAUUUUUCUGCUGAUUGUCAGUGGCUCCACUGAAUACUUGAUAAAGUUCAGACCCCUUCGGUUGGCAUUCACAGCUUGCCAUAUUCCGGCCCCAGCUUUAUCUCUUCAAACUCAACUACUCCCCAUCUGACAAUGCCACUGAGAAUCAGACAUUCCACAAAAAUGAUUUUAAAGUUUUUCUGUGAAGUUACAAACUGGCAAUAAACUGUUUACAUUUGUCCAGACGGAAAUAAUUUCUGUAAUACAUUUUACAGAACUAGUUAGCCCAAAAGUUGUUUCUUAAGGAAAACCUUUUGUCCCCCCAGAAGGAAUUAUAUUCAGUUUCUUAACCUCCAAAACAAUGUCAGUCCUGUUGCCUGUGUAUGUCCUAGCCAAAGCGGGGGGUUUUUUUUCAGCAACAUAGAUACUCCAGGCUUGAAUGGACCAUUGUCCAGCUCCUUUGAGAAACUUGACUAAUAAAUAUUUGAGAAAAACAACUCAAGAGUACAUGUUAUUCAUACAUUUCUCAAGUACUUGAGAUUUUCUUGUAUUAUGGUUAAUCAUUAAAAAGAUGUUUACCUGCGUUUUAGUAAAUCUCCUAAACAUAGUUUCCAUUUUAUUGUUAAACCCUUGAUGUUAGCAAGGGUCAGCACAAGAAAAGGCCCAAUGGUGAGAAUUUCUACAAAUUCUGUAAAGCUUACUGAAUUCAUUAUGUUGUUGAGUGGUGCUUGUAUAAGGAAACAUGCAAUAAAAUUCAUUCAACAAAGAUUGGACUGAAUGCCUGUUAUGUGUUGAGUACCAGGGCCAUAUAUAGAAAAAUAUUAGACCUGUAGAAUCUACCCUUGUGAACCAUUCUGGCUAAUGAAUUCAGAUCCAUAAAGCAAGAAGUCACAGUAACACAUGGUAAGUACCUUAAAAGAGGAAUGAACAAAGUUAAGACGGAGUGAUUUGCUCUGCCUGGAAACAGGAGAGGCUUGGUGGGACAUGUGUUACCUGAACAGUACCUGCAGGAAAGAUAUGCCUGACUGAAGACAGAGUUGUGGCCUUUGAGGUGGCAGAGGAAUUGCAUGUACGUAAGGCUGAAAACAUGAAAGAGCAUAGUGUGCUUACAGAAAACCAAGGAGUUAAAUGUGAGCGAUGAAGCUGGUAGGAUGGAAAUACAGAGAGAGUGGUAUUAUAUGUGUUUUUAACUUAAUAAUUCUUUGUUUAAAGGAAUCAAUGGGUUGCCUUGAUUCAGAUCAAGACUGUUACAACCCUCAGAGUUCCUCGUUUUGCCUUCCUGGCCGGUGAAGUUGGUAAUAAACCUCACCUUUGCCAGGGUUCUCAGUGUAUGCAGCCUAUUUGCUUUUCUUUCCCACAUGCAAGAAGUGAUUUGUGCUUUCUUGCCUCUCUGCUGUGAGAUCCCCUGCUUCAUAUUGAAUGCCUGCUUUCUUCCUGUCCUGCUAUUCAUUCCAUAAAUAUUUAUUGAAAACCCACUGAGAAAUAGUCACGAAAUUUACCUUUGACUGUCCAAGACUUUCAUGGUCCAGUUUUCCAUCUCUCUUUCUUGAUCACUGCAGUUCAUUGGCUCCCAUUUUCACUUGGGGCUAAUUCUGCGAUGUUCUACAACUUCAUAGUUGUAAACAUCUAUUGUCCGUGGUUGUUGGAUCUCCCCAACUAGACUGUAAGCUGCUUUCAGGGCAGGGACUUUAUCACCUGCUUCUUGGAGUAUUUCAUGGCAUGAAAUAACAGUGAUGAGAAGGAAGAAAUCAUACACACACACACACACACACACACACACACACACACACACCAGUAGUGACUUCCAGAUGACAAAUGAUGGGCUCAUAGUACGUGUGCUGCUCCAUCUUUCAGGGAUAUGUAUGGAAAUGUGAAAAAGCCUUCUAAGACCUUUCAAACCUUUGCUCAGUACCACUUUUGUAUAUUAACAUAGGAAUGAGGGAUGCAACAGAAGAAAUCUGGAAAAUACCUCCAGCACGUGGGAGCCAUGAACUGAAAAUUUCAGAAUUUGGAGGUUUUAUUGUUCAUAACAGUGGCCUGUUAUUUGGGUUAGAGUGAAGGUCAACAACUUGGGACUUCUUUAGCCUUCCCUUCUUGAAUCGCCCCUUCCCUGUUGAUACCUUGCCUAUCCUACAGGGUGGUCAUGAAGAUUAAAAGUAUUAGUACAUCUUAAGUGCCUAGAAUGGAGCUUGGCUCAUCAUAACUGCACAAAUCUUAGGGAUGCCCUCUUGGGCAGUGGUUACGGCAAGAAAACAGUCACAGUACCAGGCUUCCAAGACUGAUCUGAUCCUCCCUAUGGCAUGUGCAACUUUACACAUGGCAUCAAGAGUGGCCAUACAGCUUCCUAUCACCCACCCCAGUAAGUAAUAUGAGACACAGCGCAAGAUAGGCAAGUACAUGGUCUUUUACCUGAGUGGCCCAGACCUGGGAAACAGCAGGUUAGCAAUACCUAGCAAUGCUUUGCUAUUACAGUAAGAUAUUAAGAGAGAAAAAGGACAGCUGCUAUUAAUUCUCUUGGCAGAGUGCAUUCUAGUUAUGAUGUUUUCUUGUCCUUUGUUCAUUUAUUAUGGAAUUUGGCUUUUUUUUUUUUUCAUCAUAGAAUUACUGAUCUUACAGUGCUCCAGGUUGCUGGGAAUACAAAGACAUGAGUUCCUGCCUUCAUGGCACUCACAUGGUGAUAAGACAAAGGGAUACGUGUACUUCCAACAGUGUGUACUAGACUGGGUAUUCUAAAAUACAUAAACAAAGGUUUGUGGGACCACAGUGGGUGAGAACUGUCCUGGGCAUUGGAGGAUGCAUAGAAAGAAUUUAUUAGGCAAGGUAGUGGGGAGGAGGAGAGAAG